rnacentral:rRNA from 1 species
GAUGAACGCUGGCGGCGUGCCUAAUACAUGCAAGUCGAGCGAACGGACGAGAAGCUUGCUUCUCUGAUGUUAGCGGCGGACGGGUGAGUAACACGUGGAUAACCUACCUAUAAGACUGGGAUAACUUCGGGAAACCGGAGCUAAUACCGGAUGAUAUUUUGAACCGCAUGGUUCAAAAGUGAAAGACGGUCUUGCUGUCACUUAUAGAUGGAUCCGCGCUGCAUGAGCUAGUUGGUAAGGUAACGGCUUACCAAGGCAACGAUGCAUAGCCGACCUGAGAGGGUGAUGGGCCACACUGGGAGUGAGACGCGGUCCAGACUCCUACGGGAGGCAGCAGUAGGGAAUCUUCCGCAAUGGGCGAAAGCCUGACGGAGCAACGCCGCGUGAGUGAUGAAGGUCUUCGGAUCGUAAGACUCUGUUAUUAGGGAAGAACAUAUGUGUAAGUAACUGUGCACAUCUUGACGGUACCUAAAGAGAAAGCCACGGCUAACUACGUG